AGAGGCAUUUAGCUGUGUAAACACAGAGCUUCAGUGGCAGCACCCUAAAUGCUUAGCUGACAGAUCUGGAAUUAAAUACAGACCUAGAAACUGGAGUUGGAAAACUUCCUGGCAGCACUCCUUCCCUGCCAUCCCGGUGAUCCCCUUCUGGAUGGAGGGCGUGGAGCUCAGCACAUUCACGUCUGCAGGCAUUAUACUUAUAACUUUACAGGGAUUAUCUAAUUCAUUACUGAAACAACAUCAUGAUUUCCAUUUCGCAAGUGGGGAACCCUGUCCAGAGAACUUAUUUCUCAGAGAACCAAGUGUUAAGGAAUGUCAGGGAAGGAAGAAGGCAGCCAGCCAGGAAGGGGAGGUCCUGGCCUGAACACGCCAGGCAUAGAGGGAUAGAGGGUGGCGAGGAAACUGCACCUGUCUCCAACCCCCGACCCCGGCCCCGAAACAUGACAUUGGCUGAAACAGAUUAAAAGCAUAAAAUGGCACAAAGAAAUGGGAGAAGGUUGGCCUCUGGUCGGGCAAACAUGAGGGCAUGAAGAUGUAUAAUGUCCCACACGGGAGGAAGCCCUUGCCGGGCCCCUCAGGAUUUAUAACAAGCUCACCUGAAGGAGAAACUUCAGGGGCACUUACACAAUCAGAUACCUAGAAAGGAGCUGUCAUUUCCCCACAGAAGAGUUUGCAAGCAGAUGGUAAAAGGGGUUUAAUUUGAAAACACUGAAACAUCGUGUUCGCUCAAAACCAUGACAAUUGCAGUUUUAUUGUCUCCACUCAGGAAAAUGUGUGUCUGGAUCAUCUUGUGGCCCGAAUGGGGAGAAAAGAGUUACAUUUCUGCAGAGAGUGGCCCGCUGAGCUUAUGGGAAAGGCUGCAAGAAAAUCCCCAAACCAAGGUUGAUGAUCAACUUUGAAUUAAUUUUGAUGAAAAGUGUAAGUUUACCCAAUGGGAAGAUGAUGAGGAUGAAGACCGUUACAAUGAUCCACUUCCUCUUAACAAAUACAGCACAAGAACGGAAUAGUACAGUGGCUACGAACACAGAAACCACACUCCAGGCCCAGUCCCCGGCAGUGGCCUCCAGGACCCACUCUGAGCUAGAUCACAUCAGUGAUGGGCUGGCCAAUCUUUAAGGAGAAUGACUCUACUCUUAGGAAGCCAGCAGGUUGGAGGAGGAAACACAUUCAAAUCCCGAGCACAAGGAGCUGGGAGAAGACCAGGUAUGGGAGCUGCAUUCCUGGAAGCUCUGAAGUCACAGCCCCCCUGAUGAAAGGAUGUAAGACCCUAACAGUGGAAACCUGCCCCUGGGAUUCAUAUGGUGUCCCCUCAGGACUCAAACCCUGGUCUGGUAUGCUCAGUAAAUGAAUGAAUGCACCCACUACAGCCCAGGUUAUUUUUUUUUCUGAAGACAUCGUUUGACACAGAGGGAACACUGUAGAUAAGAAGCCCAACCCUGUUAGAAAGCAGAAGGGUUUGUUUGGGAAAAGGAAACAAAAUAUAUUUUUAAGCUCCAUAAACAUAUGAUGAAUGCUAACAAGGUAUUUUCAAAAUAAGAAGCACAUAGAAACAGCUUAUGUUUCUGGUCAAAUGAAGUUGUAAUCAAAUCGUUAUCAAAGCAAAAAAAAGAGAGGAAGAAAUCAAAAUGAGUCAGAAGAGUUUUUGGAAAGAUUCAGCAACUUAACUGACUUGAAGAGAUUUCCCUUGUCUCAGUCUUGCUGCUGCUUCUAGGGGAACACAGUUCUGCACGGGAAGCGAGGCCAACUUGCAACCCACAGGCACUCUGGAGGAACAAAGAAAGUAUCGCCUGCAACUCACCACGGUCUCUCUCUCUUAAGCCCUUGCUCUUGCCAGAAGAAGUUUCACACAAAGGUUUGCCUGCGAGGCUGUGCUUUCCUCUCCAGAUCAGCAGAAACAACUUACCAGCAGAAAUACUUAAUGACGGAGCCAAGACUGGCACAGCCACGCGGUCACAGCUUUGUUCCCAAGAAGCAAGCCAAUUAGCAGCC